rnacentral:piRNA from 1 species
ACUCAGUAUACCACUGGAGGCCACGUGAGU